rnacentral:rRNA from 2 species
CCUAGUACGAGAGGACCGGAGUGGACGCAUCACUGGUGUUCGGGUUGUCAUGCCAAUGGCACUGCCCGGUAGCUAAAUGCGGAAGAGAUAAGUGCUGAAAGCAUCUAAGCACGAAACUUGCCCCGAGAUGAGUUCUCCCUGACCCUUUAAGGGUCCUGAAGGAACGUUGAAGACGACGACGUUGAUAGGCCGGGUGUGUAAGCGCAGCGAUGCGUUGAGCUAACCGGUACUAAUGAACCGUGAGGCUUAACCUUACAACGCCGAAGGUGUUU